UACGGAGGAUCCGAGCGUUAUCCGGAUUUAUUGGGUUUAAAGGGAGCGUAGGUGGAUUGUUAAGUCAGUUGUGAAAGUUUGCGGCUCAACCGUAAAAUUGCAGUUGAAACUGGCAGUCUUGAGUACAGUAGAGGUGGGCGGAAUUCGUGGUGUAGCGGUGAAAUGCUUAGAUAUCACGAGGAACUCCGAUUGCGAAGGCGGCUCACUGGACUGUUGACUGACACUGAGGCUCGAAAGUGUGGGUAUCAAACAGG
rnacentral:rRNA from 1 species